GACGAACGCUGGCGGCGUGCUUAACACAUGCAAGUCGAACGGAAAGGCCCUGCUUUUGUGGGGUUCUCGAGUGGCGAACGGGUGAGUAACACGUGAGUAACCUGCCCUUGACUUUGGGAUAACUUCAGGAAACUGGGGCUAAUACCGGAUAGGAGAUCCUGCUGCAUGGUGGGCGUUGGAAAGUUUCGGCGGUUGGGGAUGGACUCGCGGCUUAUCAGCUUGUUGGUGGGGUAGUGGCUUACCAAGGCUUUGACGGGUAGCCGGCCUGAGAGGGUGAACGGCGACAAUGGGACUGAGAGACGGACCAGACGCGUACGGUAGGCAGCAGUGGGGAAUAUUGCACAAUGAGCGGGAGCCUGAUGCAGAAACGCCGCGUGCGUGAUGACGGCCUUCGGGUUGUAAACCGCUGUCGCCUGAGACGAAGCGUUAGUGACGGUAAUGGGUAAAGAAGCACCGGCUAACUACGUG
rnacentral:rRNA from 1 species